CACAGAGCCUGCUCUCACCUGCCUGAGAGCACAACUGUAAGCUUGAGAUGACAGAGAAGGGAGUACAAACCUUGAGAAAUCAUUUGCACGCAGGGAGCAUGUGGGAGUGGGUCAGGAGAUGUUGCUUAUGUGGAUUUUUCUUUUAUCUGAUAGAAGAACCUGGAUCUCCCUGACCUCUGUCUUGGCUCUGCUUCUUGUGAUUAGCACUGUGGGAAACAUAGGCUUCUUUCUCAAGGCCAGAUCAGAGAGGCAACGUGAAAGUGAUGAUUAUCUCUAUCACCCCCUGAUGGAGAUGAAUGGAGAAGCCAGUCAUACCUCCACAUCUGCUGCCUGUGAGACAGAAGAUACUCAGGAAUAAAUUCAGACACUCUGUUAGAGUCCCAGAUGAGAAAAGAAGAGGAGCAGCGUGCUCUGCUCAGCUGCACGGCCCAGCCAGCAAGGUACCACAGCCUCAAGCUCUCACCUGUGGAAAAGAAGGAGGCAGCAGCCUGAGCAAGACACUCCUGAGCUGUGCACUGGGCUCACCCUACCCCAGCGCGUUCAGCGUGUGCUUUCCCACCACCAGGCUGCCCUCAGCCAGCGGUACAGUCCCUCCAGCAGCCUUGCUCCUGGCUGCCAGAACUGCCCGUCCCUCCUCAGAGGGGAUGGCAACCAUCAGGGGCUGGGGCUGCGACCGGUACUUCAAGCAACUCAAGAUCCUGAGCAUCUCAGCUGGAAACUGGAUGUUUUUAUUUGAACAUGUAAUUGCACACUGAAUUAAUAUGAGUUUGCUUCCAUGUGAGGGGAAACUAGCCUUUAACAUGCUACUUUAAUGCUGCAAAUUGGGUUUUUAAAGCCUGUCUGAGCCUGAAUGUUUUUAAGCACUCUAUUUUUAUCUCUUCAAGCAAAGAAUAUGUAAUUUUUGUGCCACUGCUGGCAUCAAAUCAACCUGUAAACUGAAGAUUCUAUUAUUUUUUUAUUUACAGAAGACAAUUUGCCACUUGAAUAAAGUCAAUUAGUAAUAAUUGCCUGAAAUGGGA
rnacentral:lncRNA from 1 species